rnacentral:tRNA from 1 species
CAACUAACAAGAGCUGCUAACUCUUGAAUCNGGGACUAACACCUCAGCCCCCUUA